GUCGCACGGAGAAAGAUAGUUUACUAGCUUUUCUGAGUGGCGCACGGGUGAGUAACACGUGAGCAACCUGCCUCUUAGUGGGGGAUAGCCCUGGGAAACCGGGAUUAAUACCGCAUAUCAUCGCAAGAUGAAAGCAGCAAUGCGCUAAGAGAGGGGCUCGCGGCCUAUUAGUUAGUUGGUGAGGUAACGGCUCACCAAGGCGAUGACGGGUAGCCGGUCUGAGAGGAUGUCCGGCCACACUGGAACUGAGACACGGUCCAGACACCUACGGGUGGCAGCAGUCGAGAAUCAUUCACAAUGGGGGAAACCCUGAUGGUGCGACGCCGCGUGGGGGAAGAAGGUCUUCGGAUUGUAAACCCCUGUCAUGUGGGAGCAAGCUAGCAAUAGUUGAUAGUACCACAAGAGGAAGAGACGGCUAACUCUGUGCCAGCAGCCGCGGUAAUACAGAGGUCUCAAGCGUUGUUCGGAAUCACUGGGCGUAAAGGGUACGUAGGCUGUACCAUAAGUCGGGCGUGAAAGGCAGGGGCUCAACCUCUGGAGUGCGCUUGAUACUGUGGUACUUGAGUCAUGGAGGGGGAACCGGAACUCUCGGUGUAGCAGUGAAAUGCGUAGAUAUCGAGAAGAACACUCGUGGCGAAGGCGGGUUCCUGGACAUGUACUGACGCUGAGGUACGAAGGCUAGGGGAGCGAAAGGGAUUAGAUACCCCUGUAGUCCUAGCAGUAAACGGUGCACGCUUGGUGUGU
rnacentral:rRNA from 1 species